AGUAUGUUAUAUAUAUAUCGGUUUUCCCCAGUCUGCUUUUUUUGCUUUUUUGUUUUGUUUACUUAUUCUAGUUAGAGAGAAGAAAAAAA
rnacentral:ribozyme from 1 species